CCUACGGGAGGCAGCAGUGGGGAAUAUUGGACAAUGGGGACAACCCUGAUCCAGCCAUGCCGCGUGUGUGAAGAAGGCCCUCGGGUUGUAAAGCACUUUCAGUGAGGAAGAACGCCUGGUGGUUAAUACCCAUCAGGAAAGACAUCACUCACAGAAGAAGCACCGGCUAACUCCGUGCCAGCAGCCGCGGUAAUACGGAGGGUGCGAGCGUUAAUCGGAAUUACUGGGCGUAAAGCGCGCGUAGGUGGCUUGAUAAGCCGGUUGUGAAAGCCCCGGGCUCAACCUGGGAACGGCAUCCGGAACUGUCAAGCUAGAGUGCAGGAGAGGAAGGUAGAAUUCCCGGUGUAGCGGUGAAAUGCGUAGAGAUCGGGAGGAAUACCAGUGGCGAAGGCGGCCUUCUGGACUGACACUGACACUGAGGUGCGAAAGCGUGGGUAGCAAACAGGAUUAGAUACCCGAGUAGUC
rnacentral:rRNA from 1 species